rnacentral:rRNA from 1 species
GUGGGGAAUAUUGGGCAAUGGGGGAAACCCUGACCCAGCAACGCCGCGUGAAGGAAGAAGGCUUUCGGGUUGUAAACUUCUUUUACCAGGGAAAAACACAAUGAUGGUACCUGGAGAAAAAGCUACGGCUAACUACGUGCCAGCAGCCGCGGUAAUACGUAGGUGGCAAGCGUUGUCCGGAAUUACUGGGUGUAAAGGGCGUGUAGGCGGAACUACAAGUCAGGGGUGAAAACUAUGGGCUUAACCCAUAGCCUGCCUUUGAAACUGUAGUCCUUGAGUGCUGGAGAGGCAAUUGAAAUUCCUAGUGUAGCGGUGAAAUGCGUAGAUAUUAGGAGGAACACCAGUGGCGAAGGCGAAUUGCUGGACAGUAACUGACGCUGAGGCGCGAAAGCGUGGGGAGCAAACAGGAUUAGAAACCCGUGUAGUCC